rnacentral:rRNA from 1 species
AAUAGAUACCCUGGUAGUCCACGCCCUAAACGCUGUCUGCUAGCUAUGAGGAGUAUCGACCCUCUUCGUGGCGUAGGUAACCCGAUAAGCAGACCGCCUGGGUAGUACGAGCGCAAGCUUAAAACUCAAAGGAAUAGACGGGGGCUCGCACAAGCGGUGGAGCGCGUGGCUUAAUUCGUCGCUAAGCGAAGAACCUUACCGAGGCUAGAUAUCCUACUGCACGCCCUGGGAAACCAGGGAAGCCUUCGAGGGUGUAGGACAGGUGAUGCAUGGCCGUCGUCAGUUCGUGGCUUGAGCUGUUCCCUUGAGUGGGGAAACGAACGCAACCCUCGUUGCCUGUUAUAUGUGUCAGGCGAGACUGCUCCCUCACGGGGAGAGGAAGGUGAGGAUGACGCCAGGUCAGCAUGUCCCUUGAUGCCUCGGGCUGCACACACGCUACAAUGGGAUGUACAACGGGACGCAAUAUCGCAAGAUGGAGCCAAUCCUAAUAAAACAUUCCUCAGUUCGGAUUGUGGG